rnacentral:rRNA from 1 species
CCUACGGGAGGCAGCAGUGGGGGAUAUUGGACAAUGGGGGGGAACCCUGAUCCAGCGACGCCGCGUGAGUGAAGAAGUAUUUCGGUAUGUAAAGCUCUGUCAGCAGGGAAGAAAGCAAUGACGGUACCUGACCAAGAAGCCCCGGCUAACUACGUGCCAGCAGCCGCGGUAAUACGUGGGGGGCAAGCGUUAUCCGGAAUUACUGGGUGUAAAGGGAGCGUAGACGGCUGUGCAACUCUGGAGUGAAAGGCGGAGGGCCCAACCCCCGGACUGCUCUGGAAACUGGAUGGCUGGAGUGCGGGAGAGGUAAGCGGAAUUCCUGGUGUAGCGGUGAAAUGCGUAGAUAUUAGGAGGAACACCAGUGGCGAAGGCGGCUUACUGGACUGUAACUGACGUUGAGGCUCGAAAGCGUGGGGAGCAAACAGGAUUAGAUACCCGUGUAGUC